rnacentral:tRNA from 1 species
GGUGGGAUGGCGGAGUGGCUUAACGCGACGGUCUUGAAAACCGUUGUAUCGGCGACGAUACCGCAGGUUCGAAUCCUGCUCCCACCGCCA